rnacentral:tRNA from 1 species
AAGCCGGUACAAUAGCGUCCGGUUCAGGCACUUUUAAUCCGUUGGUCGCAGGUUCGAAUCCCGCACGGCCUACCA